rnacentral:misc_RNA from 1 species
GGCACUUCUGGGAUCAAGAGAUGGAAAUGGAAAGGUAAUCCAAGCAGACUGGAGAAGGUAAAUUUGGGUUUUCAGAUGUCAACAACUAUUGAGGGGUGAAUUUCAUCUGAAGGCUUUUUUGAUUCAUACAUUUGUGAUCAGCCAUCACCUAUUCAGUGACUGGGUCCAUCUUCUUCUCAAGGGGGGGCUGCUGAGGCCAAUAUGGUCUUAUCUGAUUAUCCUUUCAUCUUGGUUGUUUGAGUGCAUGUACAUCAUAGGUUUUAAGUUUUUUCUUUCUUGUUUUCUGUUUUUUCCCUCCCAAGUUUUUUGUGCUGCAGUUACACAUUAUUUAAGUGUACUCUAUUCUAUUACGGUUGUUUAUACUGUAUCUGAUUGUGAUUAUCAUG